AGUUGAUAUAUAAAAUUANNAAAAUGAUUAUAUAUAUCAUAAGGCGGUGGCACAGAAUCGGAGGCCCCGACUGUUUACUAAAAACACAACACAGUGCAAUCAUUAAUAUGAUAGUAUACUGUGUGAAAUUUGCCCAAUGCCAUAAACAUAAGAUAAUUUAUGUUUAGUAAAUUAUCGAAAGUGUGGUUAAUAGCGGUCUUAACUAUGAGGAUCCUAAGGUAGCAAAAUAAAUUGGCCAUUAAAUGUGGUCCAGUAUCAAUAAUGUAACGAUGGCCUCACUGUCUCUACAACUUGCUCAGUGAAAUUGAAUUACGCGUGCAGAUGCGCGUUGCCUCCAGGGGGACGGGAAG
rnacentral:rRNA from 1 species